UGAGUCAUGCUUUUCUUCGUUGGUAGUCGGGUAUAAAUAGGGGUCGCGCACCUCUCCCGCUCUCUUUCCCGCACGGAGUCAAGUAUAAAGAGGAGCGAGCUAAGCACUCACUGGAGGCUAACUGCUAUAUGCAUUGUUCUUCUGUGACCAGUGACCAGCAAUAAAGGGCCCGUGAACAGCAAGUGUGUCGGUCCAUGUGUCCCAUAACAAAACACAACGCAGCACGGCCAGUCACCAGAGGGACAGGCGAGGAUUAAGAGGACAGAUUAGAGACCCAAAGGCGACCGG